CCUAGUUGCUGAGUGUGGUAUCAGUAGUCCUGGCUGAGGUUUUAAAAUCUCUGCAUUAGCAAUCCCAAGAUUAUGUUGCAGCUUGGUAUAUUAAUUAUGAUAUAUUACUGUGUUCACUUUACAGCUAGCACUGAUCCAGAACUUUCAGUUGUGCAAUACCCUGAAGAUGCCAGUGUGCUUCUUAACUCAACAGUGUGGAUGCUGUGUGUAUUUGAGUACCCAGAGGAGGAGAACGAGAUGCCAGUUGUGUACUGGAGGAAGGGCCCUGACUACAAUAAUUUGCAGAGUCUUCAGUCAAGCACUGGAGCUGCUAGGCCGCAUGUACGCAUUAUAAAGAACGUACUCAAGGGAUUCUCCAUCUUGAAACUGAGCAAUGUUGAUCACAGUGCCAGUAAUUCAUAUUUCUGUGAUGUGACACUAACUCAGAACGUCCAGAGCAAACGUGGAAGUGGCACCAACCUGACCGUACAUGACUUAAAAUGCAAAGACUGUAUAAGAUCAGACAAGACCUGGUGGGGUUGGUUUCUUCUUCUUGGAUACACCAUCUUUGUCACCACAGUUAUCAUAGCUUUCAUUAUUCAUCAGGGCUGUAAAAAGUGCAAGAACAGGUCAAGAAACACAGAUAGCAGCGCCACCUCACCAAGUGACUGGAUUUACGACAAGCCAUCCAGACCAGUAAACAAUGGGUUUAAUCAAGAAUAUGUAGACAUGUCGCUAAUAAGGACUUUCACUGACACUGGAAGGAAGAUGAUAUGA
rnacentral:lncRNA from 1 species